rnacentral:rRNA from 1 species
UAGGAGGCGGGAGAGGCAAGCGGUACUCCGCGGGUAGGGGUAAAAUCCUUUGAUCCAGGAAGACCACCAGUGGCGAAGGCGGUCUGCCAGAACGCGCUCGACGGUGAGGGAUGAAAGCUGGGGGAGCAAACCGGAUUAGAUACCCGGGUAGUCCCAGCCGUAAACGAUG